CGUGUAGGCGGCCAAGCAAGUCAGAGGUGAAAGCCCUGGGCUCAACCUGGGAACUGCCUUUGAAACUGUUUGGCUUGAGACCGGAAGAGGAUGGCGGAAUUCCCAGUGUAGAGGUGAAAUUCGUAGAUAUUGGGAAGAACACCGGUGGCGAAGGCGGCCAUCUGGUCCGAUACUGACGCUCAAGCGCGAAGGCUAGGGGAGCAAACA
rnacentral:rRNA from 1 species